rnacentral:rRNA from 1 species
GUGGGGAAUAUUGCGCAAUGGGGGAAACCCUGACGCAGCGACGCCGCGUGAGCGAAGAAGGCCUUAGGGUUGUAAAGCUCUGUUUUAAGGGACGAAUGUCGUGGGGAGUAAUAUGCUCUGCGAAUGACGGUACCUUAAGAGGAAGCCCCGGCUAACUACGUGCCAGCAGCCGCGGUAAGACGUAGGGGGCGAGCGUUGUCCGGAAUUACUGGGCGUAAAGAGCACGUAGGCGGGAACUUAAGUCAGGUGUGAAAGACCGGGGCUCAACUCCGGGGUUGCACUUGAAACUGGGUUUCUUGAGGGCAGGAGAGGAAAGCAGAAUUCCUGGUGUAGCGGUGAAAUGCGUAGAAAUCAGGAGGAAUACCAGUGGCGAAGGCGGCUUUCUGGACUGACCCUGACGCUGAGGUGCGAAAGCGUGGGUAGCAAACAGGAUUAGAAACCCCUGUAGUCC